rnacentral:lncRNA from 1 species
GACCCUCUUCUCACCAGCCAUCAGCUCCACCCCAGGAGAAGCCUCCAUUGUUUCCUGACCUGAUCACUGUUGUCUGAGUGAGUGUGCAUCUGCUGGACUUAAGGCCUAAGACUUGAGACUCUAGAUCUGGCACUUGAGCCUCAGCAAGCAGAGAGAAUGUCUGUAAUAAAUCUGUCAUGACUAAGUGUGUUUGCAGUGCUUAGAAUUAACUUAGAAAUGUUUGUUUUUAAUUGAUUAUGUCUAUUGCAG